GAUGAACGCUGGCGGCGUGCCUAAUACAUGCAAGUCGAGCGAACAGAUGAGGAGCUUGCUCCUCUGACGUUAGCGGCGGACGGGUGAGUAACACGUGGAUAACCUACCUAUAAGACUGGGAUAACUUCGGGAAACCGGAGCUAAUACCGGAUAAUAUAUUGAACCGCAUGGUUCAAUAGUGAAAGACGGUUUUGCUGUCACUUAUAGAUGGAUCCGCGCCGCAUUAGCUAGUUGGUAAGGUAACGGCUUACCAAGGCGACGAUGCGUAGCCGACCUGAGAGGGUGAUCGGCCGCACUGGAACGGGGACACGGUCCAGGCUCCUACGGGAGGCAGCAGUAGGGAAUCUUCCGCAAUGGGCGAAAGCCUGACGGAGCAGCGCCGCGUGAGUGAUGAAGGUCUUCGGAUCGUAAAACUCUGUUAUUAGGGAAGAACAAAUGUGUAAGUAACUAUGCACGUCUUGACGGUACCUAAUCAGAAAGCCACGGCUAACUACGUG
rnacentral:rRNA from 1 species